AGUUCUCUGAACUGACAGUGGAGGAAACAUUGUGGGUUUAAGU
rnacentral:sRNA from 1 species